rnacentral:tRNA from 1 species
UGCGGGAGUAGUUCAACUGGUUAGAGCACCGCCCUGUCACGGCGGAAGUUGCGGGUUCGAAUCCCGUCUCCCGCGU